CAACUACUCCCUUUGUUCCAAUUUUCUUGUCUUAGAUUUGUCUAGAUACGAAUGUAUCUAAUACUAAAAUGUGACUUGAUACAUCCGUAUCUAGAAAAAUCUAAGACAAGAAUUUUGGGACGGAGGGAGUACUUU
rfam:Triticum aestivum genome assembly, contig: Triticum_aestivum_CS42_TGACv1_scaffold_222930_3B